UGGAGGUUGCAGUAAGCCAAGAUCGCGCCACUGCACUUCAGCCUGGCCACAGAGUGAGGCUCCGUCUCAAAAAAAAAAAAAAAAAAAAAAAAAAAACCAUAAACUACUAGAAGCAUUAAGUAGCCUUAGGUUGGAUUGGCUGAUACCUAUGCACCAAGUUGGCUGUGCAUUUCUAUUUCCUGCACUGUUAUGGGGAAUUGUAUAUUUUUAUUUUUUUCUUUUCUCAAAUAAAUAAAUCAGUGCAAACAAAUGCAUUGUGGAUUUCCAAACCUAUGGAAUAAAAUCUCUUUACGUCCAUCAGUUAUGGCUCUCCAAAGACGUAAAGUACUCUUCGCUUACUAAAUAAUUUUUUGGAUUGCUUCUAGCAUUUAUUAAUGGGUCUGCAUAGAGCUUCAUCUUGUGAACCUGUGAUUGUACUUUGAUAUCAGUUCUCUGUCAUAGAUAUUUAAUAAAUAAAAUAAAACUUUAUUUAUCUGAGUGUUUCUCAUUCAAAAUAGGUGUAAUUCAGGCCUGGUAUAUGUUUUUAUUUAAAUAGAAACAGUUCAAGUGUGUUUUGGAAGUUAUGCUGUAUACUACAAGACAGAUUAAAACCAGUGCCUUUUUUUAGCUCAACUGCUGAGCUGCUGAGGAAAUACCUUUAUCAUGUUUCAACCUCUAAGUUUAAUAAUUCUUAACUAAAAAUUAAUGCCUGAUGUAAGCCUCAAUUGUGUUAACAUUUCACAUGUGAUCUACUUUGUGUAUUAUUUCAGACUUUUGUGUUCUGUUAUUAGUUUAUUUUUUAACCCAAACUUUAAAAUUUAACCCCAUUUCAUUAGUAUUUGUUUAUAUUUUACCUUGUUUGCAUGCUUAACCUGCCUAUGUAUUAUCUGUGACAAUAGUGAAACUGAGUAGUUAUAAAAUGCUAUAUAAUUUUAUCAAGUCAAGCUGACUAUUUUGGUGGGGAACAUCAUCAUCUUCUGGUUUCUAAUACACAGUGUAGUUUUACUGUACUAAUUUCAAAAAUGGUACAAAGCAGUAAGGCGAUACUUAAGACUAAUUCUUUGACAGUAUAUUGAACAUGUGGAGAGGAAAGUAAGGUGUUAGCUAUUUUAAGGUUUCACAGCAACACCCCCAUCUUGUUCAUUUUCACCUGAGUUGUAUAGAGACUGGGAAUUGCUAUCUGUCUUUAAUGUAAGGUCAGCAGUGCAAGUAACAGUAUUGGAUCAUACUUCCACCAUUAUAUUCUGAGUUUCUGAUUACCACAUUCUCAUAGAUAAGGAAAGCAGUUGUAGAUGGAAGGUCUGAGAUGUAAAAAGGAUAAAGAACACAGGAAGUGGUAAAUAUGUGUGGUUACAGACAGACCUGGUAUAAAACUUGGGAGGAGGGUAAAAUUAUCAAUUGCUUGUGGGUAGGCUUGGUAGUUAAACAUGCAUGUUAAAAUUUCUAAGAUAAGGAAUAAAAAUCUAGAAGGUAUGUGUACCUUUCAAACUAGUAGAGAAGGGAAAUAGAACAAGAAAAAAAAUUCAAAAGAUAAGGAAGUUAAAGAAAUAAAACAUGGAAAAGAGAAGGCAGGUAGAAAGCACAAAAUAGCAGCAACAAGUGCAAAUAUGUUAGUAAUUUACGGUACAUAAUUACUGUAAUUGAAAAAAUCCUCCAGUUGAAAAAAUCCUCCACUUAACAGAAACUGGUUAUUAGAUGGAAUAAAAUAACAAAAUAUAUGCUGUUUGCAAGCAAUAUCUUAAAAAGCAUAUUCUAGCUUGAAAGUAAAAAGGAUUUAAAAAUAUAUUCCUGACACAACUAACCAAUAGAAAUGUUGUAUGGCUAUAUUAAUAUGAUACAAAGUUGACUUUGAGGCAGAAAACCUGUCCCAGAGAGUGAGGGUCACUAAAUAGUGGCAAAAGAAAGGCAUAAUUUUAAAUAAAUGAUUACCUGAAAUACACUUACAAAAUAUGUUAAGCAGAAAUUAGGACUGCAGAAGAAAUAGGUAAAUUUAUCAUUAUUGUAGGUUAUUUAAAUAAUCUCUCAAUAUCAGAACAAACAAAAAAAUUAACAAAAAUAUAGAUGAUUUUAAUAACAGGAUUUACAAGCCUACUGUAAUGGACAUGUAUGGAAUAUUGUACCCCACAACUAAAGUAGAAAGGAACACUUAGAAGAACUGAUCACGUUCUAGUCAAAUACAACCAGUUUUAACAAAUUUUAGUAGAUUGGCAUCAUAUUACACUCUUGUUUACAAUGCCAUUAACUUAAAUAGAAAAAAAUGUGUGUGUGCGUGUCUGUUUGGAAAUUAACAUGUUUAUUUCCAAAUAACUUGUGGGUAGAAGAAAAACUGGUAAGAACAGCAACAAUAAAUUAUUGUACAUGGCAACUUGUGUAUAGCUAAAGUGGAAAUUUAUAGAUUUUAAUGCUUAUAUUAUAGGAAUAAAAGUUGAAGAAUAAUAAACCUGCAUUUUUCAGAAUUAGAAAAAACACUCCCCGAUUGAAAUAACGAGGAAGUAGUUAAUGAACUAGAGAAAAUAAAAGUAAUUGAAAGAGGAAACAAUGCAAGUGAAAAUAGAUUAUUUGAGAAGACUAACAAAAUUAGCAACCUACUGGCAAGAUUAAUAGGUGGGGAAAGAAGUCACAACGCAGAAUCUGGAAUGAAAAUGGGAAUGUUACUACAGGUGUUUAAGGAAUGAUCAGCUUUAUGCUAAUGUAGUUGAAAGCUUAGAUUAAGUGGACCAGUUCCUAAAAUAUGUAGCUCAUACUGGCUCAAGAAGUAAUAGAAAAUGGCAUAGCCUUAAAACAAAGGAAAAAUAUUCUUACAAAGAAAAAAAUACCAAUUCUAGACAGGUUUACCAGCAAAUUCUACAAAACAUUCAAAAAACAGUAAUUCCAUUCAUACAGAAAGUAUUUCACGGUUUAGAAAAAAUGACUGUCCCAACUCUUUUUACAAAGCUCCAAGUAUGAGAAAUGAUAAUUGUCUUUAGCUCAAACAUAUGUACAAAAAUUCAUAGAUUAGAUAUCAUCACAUAGUUGUACCCCCUUAUCCAUGAUUUCAGUUACCUAUGUUCAACCACAGUCCAAAAAUAUUAAAUGGAAAAUUCUAGAAAUCACAAUUCAUAAGUUUUAAAUUGUGCAUCCAGGAUGUGGAUCCUUCCUUCAUCCAGUAUAUCCACGCUGUAUAUGCUAUCUGCCCAUUAGUUACUUGGUAGCUGUCUUGGUUAUCAGAUUCAAAAAACAUAGUAUUUAUAGGCUUCCAUGCUAUCCACGGUUUCAGGCCUCCUCAGGGGGUCUUGAAAUGUACCCCUGUUGAUAAAGGGGAAUGACUGUACUUAACCAAUACUGAAUAAGAAAGUAACCCAUUAUAAGCAAGUUGGGUUUACUCUAGAAUUUCAAAGUUGGUUUUAUAUUAGAAAGUCACUUAAUAGAAUUUACCACAUCAGCUCUUUAAAGGAAAGUAAUCAUGUGAGCAUCUGAAUAGAUACAUCUGUGGUAAAACUCUUAGCAAGUCAGUGAAUGAGAGGCUCCUUUCUUAAACUGUUGAAGGCAUUUUUUUCCAAAGAAAAUUUCCAGCCUUCUUCACAUUUAAUGGUAAAGUAUUGAAGGCAUUGGUUCCCUUUGGUAUCAAAGGACAAGUGUGCCUGCUAAUGCCACUUUUAGUCAACAUUGUACUAGAAGCAUAGCUAGUACAGUAAAUGGGAAAAAGAUACAACAAUUAGAAAGAAAAAGCUAUCAUUAUUUGCAGAUUAUAUGAUUAUCUGUGCAACCCAGAAAAAUUCAUAGAUGAAUUACUAGGAUUACUCAAAGUUUAAAUUUGGAUGCAGAAUUAAUAUACAAAUUUUCAGACUCUGCUGGCAUAGAAAUGCAAUUAAAAUAUAUUGUUAUAUUACUAUAAAGGUAUAAAGCAAUAUGAGUAACCAACAUGCUCAGUAUCUUUAUGGAGAAAUUAUAAAACAUUGAGCAGACCUAAAGAAAGAUUUAAUUAAAUAUUAUAAUGUACCAUGUUUAUAGACAAAAACUUGAACAUUGUAAUGGUGCCAGUUCUCCCCAGUUAUAUCUGUAGGUUCUGUGCCGUCUGAUUAAAAUAGCAACAGAUUUUUGUAGAAUUUGACAAGCUAAUCCAAAAACUCAUAUGGAAGAACUAAGAGAUAAUAGUAAGAUACUCAUUAAUGAAAUGGAUCUGUGAUAGCACUGGGAUUGCCAAUCAAUGAAAUAAAAUGACCCUUUCAAUAAUUGGGAUUGGUUAAUUAAAUGAAAAAAAUUUGGGUUGGACUACUACCUCACACUAGGGAAACCAAUUUUGAUGGAUUAUAGAUCUAAAUCUAUAGGUAAGGUAAAGGUAUAGGUAAAGUAAAAUGUUAACGCUUUCUGAAGAUAAUAGGGUAGAAUAUCUCUAUGACUUUGAGUAAAGAUAAAAAGGCAUAAAACAUAGAGCAAAAGAUUGGCAGAUAUGGCUACAUCAAAAUUAAGAAUUUCGUUUCACUAAUAGUUACCGUACUGUAGAGUGCCUAAUCUAGUACUUAGCACAUAUAAAAAUACACCACCCUGGGAAAUAAAGAUAAUCUGAUAGAAAACUGGGCUUGAAUAGUUACUUCACAAAAGAAUAAACUCAUUUUGCCAGUGAGUAUAUUAUGAGAUAUUCAACCUCAUUAGGAAUCAGGGAGAUGCAAAUUAAAACCACAUUAAGAAGACAUUUCACAUCGCCUAGAUAAAAGCCAACUGAUUUUGCUGUUGGUAGAGACAUGGAACAACUGAACCCUUAGACAUUGCAGGUGCUAAUGUAAACAGGUACAUUCACUUUGGGAAAUAAUUUCACAUUAUUAAAGUUGAAGAUACAAAUAGGCUAUGAUCCGGUAUUCCUAGGUAUGUGUCUUAGAGAAAUCUCUAUACAGACAUAGCAGGUGAUGUAUGUAGUUGUUUAUACAGUACCGAUCAUAAUAACAAAAACAAUCAAUAGUAGGAUAAGUAAAUUAUAGUACAUAAGAUGGACUGCAAUACAAUACUGAAAAGGAAUGGAUUACACAUGUGGCUCAACAACUUGGAUCAUCCUAGGAAAAUAAUGUUGGAAAAAAAGAAAUCACUGAAGAAUACAGUAUGAUUCAAUUUAUAUGAAAUUCCAGAACAUGCAAAAUUAAUAUAUUGUUAAGGAUACUGAUACACCUAAUACAAGUCUAUGAUAAACAUAAAAUUUAGGGAUGAGUGAGUUUGGACACAAAGUAGAUAUCAGAAGUCAAGAUAAUGUGUGUUUUAAAAAAACAACUGGAUGGUGAAUACUCAGAUAUUUAUUACAUUAUUCCUUAUACCUUAAACUUAUAGAAUUCUUUAAUCUUUGGUAUUAAUAGUUACUGAUAGUAAUUUAUGGCUACUGAUAACGUUCAGUCUAAAAUAGUAACUGAAAAAAUAAAAGUGAAUGAUUCUGGGGAGAACUCGAUAUUUUCCAUGUACUUCCUAUGUAUGUAUGUUUAAUUUUUGUGAGUUCUCAAAUGUAAUCAAUUUCUUUUGAGUGUCUUUAGUAUUUUAUUCUAUCUUUGUAUUUAAUAUAGCAGAUAAAGCAUAAUAAUUCCUAACCCUGGUUGUGUGAUAUUCCAGAAUGUAUUCAUUUAUUUUUAGGGAUAUAGGUGCUUUUAAUUCAUUUACAUUUUUCUAAUCACUAAAUUUACGUAGCUUCUAUGUUUACAUAUUUUCUGUUUAUUUACCACAUUUUAGGAAGCUCAAGAAAGAUAUUACCUUAUUUUUUUACCUUAAAAUAUGUAUAUUAUUACUAUUGCAUUUGUGAUAAAACGUUUCAUUUUAGAAUACUUACAUUUUAUUUUGUUUAUCAAACAAUAGCAUUUUUGUAUCAGGCACUAUUCUCAGUAUUGUUAAAAUAUUCAUUUAGUCUUCAUUGCAAACCUGUGAGAAAGAUAUUGUUAUCUUUGAUAGGUCAAGGGAAACUGAGGCACACAAAGUGUUAGGUAAGGUCACUUAGCUAGUAAGUGGAGCCUGUACUCAAACCUACGCAGUCUGGCUCCACACUUUGUGCACUUAACCACUAAGCUGUAAAAGACCAUAUGAAGUAGAUCUCUAAGAGGAGGAGUAUGUCAGCUUUUUCAUUGUUCUUUAAUAAACGGUACUGUUUUUUAGGGUUGCCAGCAUCUUGUCAGAUUAUGAUGAAAGGAUUAUAGUAUUCCCUUUCUUUUAUCUGACAUUGUUAAAAGUAAUAUUGGUAAAUUACACACUACUGGACUUUGCUUAGAUUUACUCUUAAGUGAAUUUUGUGUCCAUAUGUUCAUGAGAUGAGACAAAUAGAUAGAAGUACCUAUUAGUCUAAUUGCAGGUCUACCGAUAAUGCACAAAUGGUGAUAGUGUACUUUCUUCUUCCAAAGGUGGGUUAAUGGAGUCAUGGCUUAAAAUAAGAAAGUUUAACAGUAUGCAUGUAUAAAUUUGAUAUUUAUACAUUAUGAAUAAUAUAUAAAUCAUUUAUGGUAGAGUAAUACUUAUUUCAGGGAUGUUGAUGUAACUUUGGGAAAUUCUCAUUGUAAAAUAGACUGUUAAUAGAGAAAAUUCUAAGUGAUUUGUGAAGAAACUAGUAGUAGUAGUCUAACGUGAGGCACUAGACAUAGAGAAGAAUCAACAAAUCCUUUAGAGUAAUAGUUCUUUACCCAUUCAGACUCACACUCCAUUUCGAGCAUGACUUUAGAGGUUCUUGAGACAAGAUCUCAUCCUAUAGCCAUAUAUGCUCACAGUAUAUACAUAACAUCCCUAAGAAUUUCAGCUUCUCUUCAUGCUUUUUGUUACUUUAAAUAGCUUACCUUUCAGUGACACAUGGUUUUAACAGGCAAAACACAUGACUGUGAAUGAUUUUUCUUUAGAGCAGAAAUGAUGUAUAUGGCCUGAAUUCACUUUUAGAGAUUCUUCGAAGAGACAGUAUUCCCUGUCUCUUUGCACAUAUGUGGCAUACUGUAAGGACUUACUUUUAAAUAAAAAGGAAGCUCUUGCAGUGGCAUAAAGACAUUUAUUUUGUUAAGAACCUAUAUAAAAUAGCGUACAGCAGUUUAUAGAUGUGACCAUCAAGUCAGAUAAUUUGGGAUGUUCACUAAGAGCCCUGGAUAAUUAUAACAGUGUAACACUCAACAUCUAGUAUUUGUUUUGCUUCCCUUCUCUGCUAGGGAGAGGAGGUCAUAUAAUAUAUGGUAUUUUUAUGUUAUUUUAGAUAAAUCCAUAUCAACACAGCACAGGAGAACAAAUUAUAAAUUAUACCCUGGUAGAUUUGGGGGUAUAAACUUCAUGAAAUGUUUCUCAGAAAGUAAGAAAUAUUUCUUGAUUUUAUCUUUAAAAUUAAUGCAAAAUUGCUAUGUUACUCCAUAAUUUAUUUGUGUGCGUUACUAUAAGGAUAGUAUGUAUUCAUAUUAAAUUUUUUUAAAUUGGGUUAAAUGAAUCCUCCAGGAUGAUUGUAUUGUUUAAUCUGUGGCUUCAAAUGUUGUUUCUCCCUUUCCAUACCAAACAUAUCCUGCUUUUUGCACAGGAUAUAUUUCUUUCAGAUGUCAGAACACCUAGGGAUACGUUUGCUGAAUUACUAACUUUUUUUAGGACAGACAUGAAAUCAUUUAGAGGGUAAACUCCAGCAAUAUAGGAGUCUGUUUUUUUUUUUUUUUUUUUUUUUUUUUUGAAUGGAGUAGCAGCUAAUCUUUAAGACCCAUUGAUAACAUUUUAGUAGUAGCACUUAACACUCAUAAAGGAAAAAUAAAUCAUCCAGCUUCUCAUCUUAAGUUUUAUGUAACUUUACAAUUUGAUACUUGAUGACUUGCUAUUGGUAUGAGACUGGACAGUGUGAUGUGACAAACAUGUGACAUUUGCCUACCAUUUUCUAGGCAUUGUACCAAGUGCUAGAGAUGGAAUGGUAGGUAAAGCUGUGGUUCUGCACUUAGGAAGUUCACAGUCAAAUGAGGGAUACAGUCACAAAACAGAUACUUGUAUAAAGUAUGGCCACUAUAAUACAGAGAAACAGAAAAGCGAUGGCCAAAGAAAGCUCGCUUGAAAAGAUAAUGCCUGAACUGAAUACUAAAGGGAGGUGGCAGGGAGAGACAAAGAAGGGGACAUAUUGAUUGUGUGUGCGUGGGCAUUGAAAUGAGGGGGAACAGGGAAAUAGGAAGGGAGGAAUAGCCUGAAGGAGAACAGGAGCAAAGACACAUGGGUGAGAAACAACAUGGAGUGUCUGGACAUACAAGCAGAUCUCUUGGCAGGAAUAUGAGAUGAGGGUCAGCGAGUGAUUGAAAAUGGGUCUGGAGAGAUAUGUAACCAAAUCAUGGGAGCUUUUUAAGCGCCACGUUUAGGAGCUUGAACUUCAUCUCUUUGUGCGUUGGACAAUCAUUGAAGGGUUUUAAGUAGGGGCCCAGUUUGAUUGUAUUCAGGUUUAAUAGAGUACUCUGAUAGUUGUUGUGAAGCAUAAAUUUGAAGGGAAAAAGAUUGGAGGGAGAGAGGCCAUUUGGGAAGUAGUUGACUUGAUAAGAGGUGAUGAGGGCUUAAACUGAGACUGUCAAUAGAAAUAGAGAAGUGGGAAUAGAUUUCAGUCUAUACAUUUUUUGGUUGAUAAAUAGUAAAUUUAGUAAGACUUGAUGCUUGGAAAUGACCAGUGGGAGAGAAAAGGUAGACAAGAUUAACUCAAGUUUGUAGCUGAGGUGACUCCAGGGAUAGUGAUGACACCAAACAAACAGUGAAUACAUGAAUAAUCAGCUGAGGAAACAAUACAGAAGUCAGUUUUGGAUAGUUUGAGUUUGAGAUGAUUGUGACAUCACUAGUGGAGGAGAACUAACAAGGCAGUUGACUUUUGAACUUGAUGCUAUGGAAUAUAGAUGGGGCUGCUGGGCUGGAAAUUUAGCUGGAAGAGUUCAUCAGUUUGCAAGAGGUGAUUGAAACCAUAGGACCAUCAAGGGAAGGUAUGUGGGUUGAAGAGAAAAAAAGGGCAGAAGACAGGAGCUUGGGGAACAUAAGUGUUUUAAGUAGAGAAAAAGAAGCUCCACAAAGAUAAGAAAAGGAACUGAUAAAAGAAAUGAAAUAAUUAGUGGGCCAACCUGAAGAUCCAAGUAAGACUAGAAACCACACAGGUUUAAUGGAACAAAUCUAUAUAGUUGUAAUUUCCUUAAAAGCCUUAAAUAAAUGAGGGAGAUUAGAAUGUAGCAUUAGUCUAGGAUUGAGGUUUUACCAGACAAUACAGUAAAAAUUGUGAGUUUAGGGAAACCAAGUUGUUGAAGUUAGAGCAGUUUUAGAUGAUCAGCUGUGCCAAAUACUGCAAAUUAUGUGCUGUACAUUAUUCUUUACAUAUAUUGACUCUUAACCCUGACCACAAACAUAGUUGUUACAGAAGAUUCUAGAAUGUAAGUUCCAUAAGAGCAAGGAGGGUAUGUUUUGUUGUCUGUGCUAUUCUCAGUGCCUGACAUACAGAAUGGGCUCAAAUGCUUGUUGAAUUAAUGAGUGAAUAUGAGAUACAUACUACUAUUCCCAUUUCACAGAUAUGGAGGCUGGGUAAGAAGAGAUUAAGUAACUUGCAUAUGCAACUAUUUAGUGGUAGAGCCAGUAGGAAAGGAAUUGAACCCAGGAUUACGGAGCUAGUGGAAAAUAGAGAGAUUUUAGGUCUGAAGAUCUCUAUGAGCAUAGUGGAAAUGAAGGCAUGAGAGACGUAGAAGAUGGAGUUUAUAAUUUUUUUGACAUAGGAUUGUUCAGGGUUAUGACAAAGAGUCAAGUCUUAGCAAUGGAGUAAAGGGCGUUUAUUACCAAAGCUUUGUAGGCAUCUAUGUAGAUGUUGAAAGCUGCUAAGGUUAUAAUAGAAGUUUGAAUAGAGAGGAACAUUAUAAUACUGUCCUCAUAAAUGAGGUGGUAUAAUUGGAGAUCUGUAGAUAAGAAGCAAUAGAGAGUGGAAUAGAUAAAUGCUAUUUUCUUAUUUCAAUUUCAGCUUUUUAAACAUAGAUUGAGCUUAGAUCUGGUUUGCUGAAAAGACAGUAAUAAAUUGGGCUUGCUGCAUAUAAUUUAUUUCCCCCAUAUGGAUAAGCUGGUUGGAAAGCUCCAGAAGUAUUCAGAAUGUAAAUACAAAAGUUUUAAAAGUUUACCUGACAUGCCAGCUCUACUUAAGGUAGGAAUUCUAAGUAUUAUAUCUCUUCCCUGCAAGGAAAGCUACCUCCUCCUUUUUAUAAAAUUUUUGUUUUUGUUUGUGGCAGCACCUCUCACCUCUUUUUGUUUUGUAGCUGUUGGGUACACAUUACAAGGAUGGUAAAAACAAAAUGCACUUGCUCUUCUAAAUAUUUAGCCACUGCCUAGUGGAUUGCACUUAUUCUCAGUUCCCUUGCCAAUCCUUUUAGCCUUCCCCUCCCCCAUGUCUCUUUUUGAAUGGUUUUGCCUCACGAAGCUCUUGAGAGCUUUCUAUGUUAUAUUGUGGCACAGGAAAAAGUUCGUUUUGACACUGUAGUUAACAUUUUAAGUUGAUGAUUUUUAGAAUGUUUCGAUAACUUAAGGAAUUAAUCCUGUUUCGUUUUUAGAGAUGAUUUAAUCUGAUAUUUCAUUUGCUUUUAAGAUUCUAAUUUAUUUUCAUAGCAUUGUAAUUUGUAUCCUGAAUGUUUCCCUUCAGAGAAAUAUAAAAAUCUAGUAAUCCAUUAUAUAUAGUAUUGUGUUAAGCCUAAGAUUUCAUUAUUUAUCAUACACAUUUAUUUUAUUUAUUUUGUUUUAUUUUUAUUAUGCGUAUUUAAAGCAUAGCCUUUGAUUUAUAUAAUUUUUCAUUUUGUGGUUGUGCCUGCUUAGCUUUUUGUUUUUGUGUGUGUAUGUCUUUCAUACAAAUUAGUAUCAUUCUAUCAUAGCUCUUAGGAAAUUCAGACUUAAUCAAAUAUGUUAUAAAAUGUGUUUGUAUAAUAAAAAUGUUGGAGGAGAUGAUGCUAAAGGUGCCUUUUAGAGCAGGUGUGCUAUGGUUUUGUGGCUUUUUACGCGCUGCCCACUUUAAAUCUCAGUAGGCAGCAGCUGAAAUACUACUAAAUGACCUUUGACACAGAACCCAUGAAUGCUACAAGUAUGAUUUCAUGUCACCACGUUCUUUGUAAACCUAAAUGCCUGUCAAAUCAGAUGUGUGUUUAGAUCUUUUUACUGAAUGUGCCUUGAGGAGAAGAAUAAAGCUUGGGGUCAAUUUGGCAUAAUCCCCACGUUUGUCUUUUUCUAUUACAGAGGUUUCUUGCGGAAUGGAGUGACAGUUCUGAGGGAAAAAAGUUCAGGCUAAGUCAGCUGUUUAAGGAAGACAGAGCAGGCAUUGGAUAAUAUUCUUAUUAAGGUAAAGAAUCUGGGUGUUUGAGACUUAAGGUCAUACAACAAGUAGUCUACCUGGAAUUAUGAACCAGGUCUUGAAGACUUCCAGAUAUUUGUGCUGUCUACUGUGCUGCAUUUUCAACAAUAAUUCAUUUGUCUGUGGGUUAAAUUCAAUUUAAUGAGAUUCAUUUAUUCAACGUAUAUUUAUUAAAUGUUAUUAUUGCUAGUCACUGUGUUAAAUGAUACUGUAAGACAGUAAACAAGACAGAGUUAUCUUUCCGUGUCUUCAUGAAACCAGCAGCUUUUGAAAAGACUAAAACUAAACAAAUAAUUACAACUAAGAUGAGCAUUAAGGGAGAAAUUGUAAGAUGAUAGGAAAAAAAUAUCACAGGCCAACUUAACAUGCUCUGGGAUGGUGGGGGAGUGUUGAAUGUGAACCUAGGGUAGGACAUGAGAAAUAACUUUUGGGCUGAAAUUGGAAAAAUCAGCAUGAAUUAGCUAAGCCUAGGAAUUAGGAGAAGGGUUAGGAUAGAACAUUGCAGGCAACAGAAAUAGCAUCUACAAAA